rnacentral:rRNA from 1 species
UUGUUCGCAUGAACAACGCUUAAAAGAUGGCUUCUCGCUAUCACUUCUGGAUGGACCUGCGGUGCAUUAGCUUGUUGGUGGGGUAACGGCCUACCAAGGCGAUGAUGCAUAGCCGAGUUGAGAGACUGAUCGGCCACAAUGGGACUGAGACACGGCCCAUACUCCUACGGGAGGCAGCAGUAGGGAAUCUUCCACAAUGGGCGCAAGCCUGAUGGAGCAACACCGCGUGAGUGAAGAAGGGUUUCGGCUCGUAAAGCUCUGUUGUUAAAGAAGAACACGUAUGAGAGUAACUGUUCAUACGUUG